UACGGGGGGGGCAAGCGUUGUUCGGAAUUACUGGGCGUAAAGGGCGUGUAGGCGGCCAACUAAGUCCGACGUGAAAUCCCCAGGCUUAACCUGGGAACUGCGUCGGAUACUGGAUGGCUUGAAUCCGGGAGAGGGAUGCGGAAUUCCAGGUGUAGCGGUGAAAUGCGUAGAUAUCUGGAGGAACACCGGUGGCGAAGGCGGCGGCCUGGGUAGAUACUGACGCUGAGGUGCGAAAGCGUGGGGAGCAAACAGG
rnacentral:rRNA from 1 species